UUAAGCGACUAAGCGUACACGGUGGAUGCCCUGGCAGUCAGAGGCGAUGAAGGACGUGCUAAUCUGCGAUAAGCGUCGGUAAGGUGAUAUGAACCGUUAUAACCGGCGAUUUCCGAAUGGGGAAACCCAGUGUGUUUCGACACACUAUCAUUAACUGAAUCCAUAGGUUAAUGAGGCGAACCGGGGGAACUGAAACAUCUAAGUACCCCGAGGAAAAGAAAUCAACCGAGAUUCCCCCAGUAGCGGCGAGCGAACGGGGAGCAGCCCAGAGCCUGAAUCAGUGUGUGUGUUAGUGGAAGCGUCUGGAAAGGCGCGCGAUACAGGGUGACAGCCCCGUACACAAAAAUGCACAUGCUGUGAGCUCGAUGAGUAGGGCGGGACACGUGGUAUCCUGUCUGAAUAUGGGGGGACCAUCCUCCAAGGCUAAAUACUCCUGACUGACCGAUAGUGAACCAGUACCGUGAGGGAAAGGCGAAAAGAACCCCGGCGAGGGGAGUGAAAAAGAACCUGAAACCGUGUACGUACAAGCAGUGGGAGCACGCUUAGGCGUGUGACUGCGUACCUUUUGUAUAAUGGGUCAGCGACUUAUAUUCUGUAGCAAGGUUAACCGAAUAGGGGAGCCGAAGGGAAACCGAGUCUUAACUGGGCGUUAAGUUGCAGGGUAUAGACCCGAAACCCGGUGAUCUAGCCAUGGGCAGGUUGAAGGUUGGGUAACACUAACUGGAGGACCGAACCGACUAAUGUUGAAAAAUUAGCGGAUGACUUGUGGCUGGGGGUGAAAGGCCAAUCAAACCGGGAGAUAGCUGGUUCUCCCCGAAAGCUAUUUAGGUAGCGCCUCGUGAAUUCAUCUCCGGGGGUAGAGCACUGUUUCGGCAAGGGGGUCAUCCCGACUUACCAACCCGAUGCAAACUGCGAAUACCGGAGAAUGUUAUCACGGGAGACACACGGCGGGUGCUAACGUCCGUCGUGAAGAGGGAAACAACCCAGACCGCCAGCUAAGGUCCCAAAGUCAUGGUUAAGUGGGAAACGAUGUGGGAAGGCCCAGACAGCCAGGAUGUUGGCUUAGAAGCAGCCAUCAUUUAAAGAAAGCGUAAUAGCUCACUGGUCGAGUCGGCCUGCGCGGAAGAUGUAACGGGGCUAAACCAUGCACCGAAGCUGCGGCAGCGACGCUGAUGCGUUGUUGGGUAGGGGAGCGUUCUGUAAGCCUGUGAAGGUGUGCUGUGAGGCAUGCUGGAGGUAUCAGAAGUGCGAAUGCUGACAUAAGUAACGAUAAAGCGGGUGAAAAGCCCGCUCGCCGGAAGACCAAGGGUUCCUGUCCAACGUUAAUCGGGGCAGGGUGAGUCGACCCCUAAGGCGAGGCCGAAAGGCGUAGUCGAUGGGAAACAGGUUAAUAUUCCUGUACUUGGUGUUACUGCGAAGGGGGGACGGAGAAGGCUAUGUUGGCCGGGCGACGGUUGUCCCGGUUUAAGCGUGUAGGCUGGUUUUCCAGGCAAAUCCGGAAAAUCAAGGCUGAGGCGUGAUGACGAGGCACUACGGUGCUGAAGCAACAAAUGCCCUGCUUCCAGGAAAAGCCUCUAAGCAUCAGGUAACAUCAAAUCGUACCCCAAACCGACACAGGUGGUCAGGUAGAGAAUACCAAGGCGCUUGAGAGAACUCGGGUGAAGGAACUAGGCAAAAUGGUGCCGUAACUUCGGGAGAAGGCACGCUGAUAUGUAGGUGAAGCGACUUGCUCGUGGAGCUGAAAUCAGUCGAAGAUACCAGCUGGCUGCAACUGUUUAUUAAAAACACAGCACUGUGCAAACACGAAAGUGGACGUAUACGGUGUGACGCCUGCCCGGUGCCGGAAGGUUAAUUGAUGGGGUUAGCGCAAGCGAAGCUCUUGAUCGAAGCCCCGGUAAACGGCGGCCGUAACUAUAACGGUCCUAAGGUAGCGAAAUUCCUUGUCGGGUAAGUUCCGACCUGCACGAAUGGCGUAAUGAUGGCCAGGCUGUCUCCACCCGAGACUCAGUGAAAUUGAACUCGCUGUGAAGAUGCAGUGUACCCGCGGCAAGACGGAAAGACCCCGUGAACCUUUACUAUAGCUUGACACUGAACAUUGAGCCUUGAUGUGUAGGAUAGGUGGGAGGCUUAGAAGUGUGGACGCCAGUCUGCAUGGAGCCGACCUUGAAAUACCACCCUUUAAUGUUUGAUGUUCUAACGUUGACCCGUAAUCCGGGUUGCGGACAGUGUCUGGUGGGUAGUUUGACUGGGGCGGUCUCCUCCUAAAGAGUAACGGAGGAGCACGAAGGUUGGCUAAUCCUGGUCGGACAUCAGGAGGUUAGUGCAAUGGCAUAAGCCAGCUUGACUGCGAGCGUGACGGCGCGAGCAGGUGCGAAAGCAGGUCAUAGUGAUCCGGUGGUUCUGAAUGGAAGGGCCAUCGCUCAACGGAUAAAAGGUACUCCGGGGAUAACAGGCUGAUACCGCCCAAGAGUUCAUAUCGACGGCGGUGUUUGGCACCUCGAUGUCGGCUCAUCACAUCCUGGGGCUGAAGUAGGUCCCAAGGGUAUGGCUGUUCGCCAUUUAAAGUGGUACGCGAGCUGGGUUUAGAACGUCGUGAGACAGUUCGGUCCCUAUCUGCCGUGGGCGCUGGAGAACUGAGGGGGGCUGCUCCUAGUACGAGAGGACCGGAGUGGACGCAUCACUGGUGUUCGGGUUGUCAUGCCAAUGGCACUGCCCGGUAGCUAAAUGCGGAAGAGAUAAGUGCUGAAAGCAUCUAAGCACGAAACUUGCCCCGAGAUGAGUUCUCCCUGACCCUUUAAGGGUCCUGAAGGAACGUUGAAGACGACGACGUUGAUAGGCCGGGUGUGUAAGCGCAGCGAUGCGUUGAGCUAACCGGUACUAAUGAACCGUGAGGCUUAACCUU
rnacentral:rRNA from 1 species